GUGCUGGCUUUGGCAGCAGUGAUACUAAAAUUGGAACAAUACAGAGAAGAUCAGCAUGGCCCCUGGGCAAGGAUGACAUGCAAAUUCAUGAAACGUCCCAUAUUAAA
ensembl:snRNA U6 U6 spliceosomal RNA